GAGAUGACUCUCGGCAACGGAUAUCUAGGCUCUUGCCGAUGAAGAACGUAGCGAAAUGCGAUACUUGGUGUGAAUUGCAGAAUCCCGUGAACCAUCAAGUUUUUGAACGCAAGUUGCGCCCGAGGCCACCAGGCCAAGGGCACGCCUGCCUGGGCGUCACGC
rnacentral:rRNA from 1 species